AGAAUAUAAGAAUCCGCCUCUUAACUUUUAAUUAAAAAACUAAAAACCGGCUCUUAAAUGAGAUAUUUAAAAGUCGAUUCUUAGCUUUUUUAAUUAAAAGUUAAGAGACGGGUUCUUAUAUUCC
rfam:Brassica rapa chromosome A10, whole genome shotgun sequence.